rnacentral:rRNA from 1 species
UACGUAGGUGGCAAGCGUUGUCCGGAUUUAUUGGGCGUAGAGCGCGCGCAGGUGGUUUCUUAAGUCUGAUGUGAAAGCCCACGGCUCAACCGUGGAGGGUCAUUGGAAACUGGGGAACUUGAGUGCAGAAGAGGAUAGUGGAAUUCCAAGUGUAGCGGUGAAAUGCGUAGAGAUUUGGAGGAACACCAGUGGCGAAGGCGACUGUCUGGUCUGUAACUGACACUGAGGCGCGAAAGCGUGGGGAGCAAACAGG